AUUAAAUCAGCUAUGGUUUAUUGGAUCAUACCCGUUAAAUGGAUAACUGUAAUAACUCUAGAGCUAAUACAUGCCUCGAUGCCCCGACCCUGUCCCCUUGUGGCUCCUCGUAGCUGCAAUCGUGGGCAAGGGAGGGGUGCACUUAUUAGAUCAGAAGCCAACCGGCGUCGCGUGUGUACUCACGUGCGCUGCAGCACUUCUGGUGACUCUGGAUAAUUGUUACAGAUCGCAGUCGGCCUUGAGUCGGCGACGGGUCCUUCAAAUGUCUGCCCUAUCAACCUUCGAUGGUAGGUGACCUGCCUACCAUAGUAAUAACGGGUAACGGGGAAUCAGGGUUCGAUUCCGGAGAGGGAGCCUGAGAAACGGCUACCACUUCCAAGGGAGGCAGCAGGCGCGCAAAUUACCCACUCCCAGCACGGGGAGGUGGUGACGAAAAAUACCGAUGCGGGACUCCUUCAAGAGGCUCCGUAAUCGGAAUGAGUGGACUCUAAAUCCUUUCACGAGGAUC
rnacentral:rRNA from 1 species